AGCUUUUGGCAUCUGCUGCUCUGCCUGGUACAGUGCCACAAAAGCCCACAGCUGAUGGCCCCAGGCACACCACAGGAGUGAGGUACUGUGGACAAGGCAUGAAGGAAGAGUGGUGAUGUUAAUUUUCUUAAUAAUCCCACCUGGGACCCUGCCUACUCCCUACGCCCAAAUGGAUCCUAUGCUGCAACUUGGAUGCAACAAAACUUUCUGCUAAUUGACACAUCACCUUCCUCCAGUCUACUGCCUAUUCUAGAAAGAGUGCCGAUAAACUUAGCCUGCCGCCCAAAUGUUGCUCAGUUUAAGCGAGGGAGCUUUGACACUUCAAUCGCAAGAGGGAGCUGUUGGAGCUCAAACUGCUAGAACUGCGCACCUACGUAUUGCCGUUUUAAUCGAUACCGCUCACUUCUAAAUAUUUAAUGAAAUACAUUAACAAUUAUUAGUUUCCACCAUCACGCUCUCUGACUACCACUGACAUGCAUUUUCUGAGAGAAGUAUGAAAACAAUAAUUAAAGUGAAUAAACCUAUACAUUGACAAUAA